ACAGAUUCAGCAGCUGAUCCACAGAGAGGCAGAGAGUGUACGAGACAUCAGCGUCGACUCGACCUGCAGCACAACACGUCUCUCUGUUACACGCCAGCUGGGUUUCAACAUUUAAAUCUACUGAAACAGAAAACCCAAAAAUAAACAGAAACUUGCCCCUGAAAACCCGCAAGAAGUACACCUGUGUCCCUUGCGGUUGGAAGUUUUUGGACAAUAAACCAAAGAUGCGAAAUAGAAAUAGUGUAAACAUGGUUCUGUUUCUGUCAACCAUCUAUGGAACAGCUUGAUGUUAGUUUGCAGUGCACGUUGUCAUUGUUUGUGCAUGAAAAGCUUGUUAUUAUCUAUGGUCAUCAAUUACUUCUAUAGAGUAAAACAACUGUCAAACAACUUUAAUUUAAUCAAUUGCAACUUCCCAAACUUCAUCUGAUGAAUAAAAAUAAUACAUUUGAGAAA